rnacentral:rRNA from 1 species
UACGUAGGUGGCGAGCGUUGUCCGGAAUUACUGGGCGUAAAGCGAGUGUAGGUGGCUCAUUAAGUCACAUGUGAAAUCCCCGGGCUUAACCUGGGAACUGCAUGUGAUACUGGUGGUGCUAGAAUAUGUGAGAGGGAAGUAGAAUUCCAGGUGUAGCGGUGAAAUGCGUAGAGAUCUGGAGGAAUACCGAUGGCGAAGGCAGCUUCCUGGCAUAAUAUUGACACUGAGAUUCGAAAGCGUGGGUAGCAAACAGGAUUAGAAACCCGAGUAGUCC